GCCAGGUGUGGUGGCGGGCACCUGUAGUCCCAGCUACUAGGGAGGCUGAGGCAGGAGAAUCACUUGAACCCAGGAGGCGGAGGUUGCAGUGAGCCGAGUUCGUGCCACUGCACUCCACCUGGGUGACAGAGCGAGACUCUGUCUCAA
rnacentral:SRP_RNA from 1 species